AGCAGCAGCUUGCUGACAGCCACCCGUUGGGGAAAGGGGCUAUGGCUUGGCAAUUGGCUUGGCACACAGAAGUUCUCACAGUUGAAUUUCUGGGCAUGUCGCACAUGAAGCUGCCUUAUACCAAGCCAGAUCACUGGUCGAUCAAGACAUCUGACCACAGCCGGCAGGCAGUGACCCAAGACCUCUACUGCAUCCCACUGUGAUUUGGAUUUGGAUAAGAAAAGUUGAAGUGGAAAAAAAAAGUCCUCAAAGAAGAUUUGGAAACCAGUGUAAUACUUAAUAUGCAGUAUAAAGAAAGCACCGCAAAUGUACUGACCAUAAAAAGCAUUCUUCUAAUUACAAACAAGAGGACUCUGAA